rnacentral:rRNA from 1 species
AUGCCGUGGUUAGUAGCAGGAGAUUUUAAUGAAAUCCUUUAUGGCCAUGAAAAACAGGGAGGUAAAAUAAGAGCACAGGAGCUUAUGGAUAAUUUUAAAAAAACGCUAGAGGAGUGUGAAUUAACAGACCUGGGAUUUGAAGGCGACAUGUUCAAUUGGAAGGAAGGUUCUAUAAGGGAAAGGCUAGAUAGAGCUAUAGCCAAUUCCAGUUGGAGGAAUAGGUUUUCAGAGGGGAAAGUCAUAAACGGUGAUCCAUACCACUCAGACCAUCGUCCUAUUAUCAUUCUCACUGAAAAACCAGCUCAAAAACCAAAAAAGAGGGUUUGGGGAAAUAAUUUCAAAUUUGAAGCAAACUGGAUCCUAGAACCAGAAUGUGAAACCGUGGUAAAAGGAGCUUGGAACGAGGUGAAAUCCAUUAGCGAUGAAAAUGUGCAAGAAGGCCUCGAAAGAGUGGCAAUAAGAUUGACGCGACGGAGCCUGAAUGUACUUGGGGAUUUGGAGAAAAGAAUUAAACAAGUGAGUGAGUUAACUGUAGAAGCAAUCCAAAGAGAACAGACACUUAGGUGGAAAUUGGAGAGGCUUGAAGAGCAGCGUGAUUUAUAUUGGAAACAAAGAGCACAUGCAAACUGGCUGCAAAAAGGUGACAGAAACACUUCCUUUUUCCAUGCUUCAGUAAAGGAAAGGAGAAGGAGAAAUCACAUAAAGAAAUUAAAGAAAGAGGAAAGUGGUUGGGCAGUGACGGAGGAAGAUAAAAAGAAGGUGGUGAAGGAGUACUUUGAAAAAUUAUUUGAGAGUUCCUUUUUUGAAGCAAACAUCCCGUCCCCCGUGCCGCUCCCGCGAGCGGCCCGGGCGGAACCCUAG